GCAGGAGUGGCGCACGGAAGCGUGCUGGCCCAAAACCCAGAGGUCGAAGGAUCGAAACCAUUCCUCUGCUA